rnacentral:lncRNA from 1 species
GCUGGAUCAAGAGCUGUAUACACACACGUGUGCAUAGUCUGAGAACGGGGCAUGAGGUCCAAUUAUGGAGGGCCUGGAGUCCUGGCUCGUUUCUCUGGGAGAUGCAGUACGUCAGUGAGCAAAGUUCAGGUCCUUUGAGACAACUGCUCAUAUGAUUGAUAGAGACGUCUGUUUGCUGCAGUUUUCCCGGGAUCACCAACAUCUAGUAAAUGCCCAGUGACCUGCAGGAGGACACUGCUGGCAUUGUGAGGAUUGCAUUUUAAUUCUAAGGGAGUCGCAACGGC